UUGGGCGUAAAGGGUGCGUAGACGGCUAUUUAUUGCUACUAUAAACUUUUAUAAGUAGUUACAGUUUUAAGCAAAAGCUUUUUUUUUGCGAAGACGGAAAGCUUAAAAGACUGUUUAGCUUGAGUUUAGCUGAAGUUAGCAGUAUGUUUAGUGUAGAGGUAAAAUUCGGUGAUACUAAAUGGACUAUCGGAGGUGAAAACGGCUAACUAAGUUAAACUGACGUUGAGGCACAAAAGCGUGGGGAGCAAACAGG
rnacentral:rRNA from 1 species